rnacentral:siRNA from 1 species
UCAAAUAGUAACGAAAUUCUUUA